AAUUUGUGAAAAUGGGGGAAACCCUGACCCAGCCAGCACGUGUGUAUGAUGAUGGCGAUAGGUAUGUAAAGUACUUUUGGCAGAGACAAAAAGGUAUCUCCUAACACGAGAUACUGCUGACGGUAUCUGCAGAAUUAGCACCGGCUAACUACGUCCCAGCAACCGCGGUAAUACGUAGGGUUCAAGCGUUAAUCGGAAUUACUGGGCGUAAAGAGUGUGUAGGCGGUUCGGAAAGAAAGAUGUGAAAUCCCAGGGCUCAAACUUGGAACUGCAUUUUUAACUGCCGAGCUAGAGUAUGUCAGAGGGGGGUAGAAUUCCACGUGUAGCAGUGAAAUGCGUAGAUAUGUGGAGGAAUACCGAUGGCGAAGGCAGCCCCCUGGGAUAAUACUGACGCUCAGACACGAAAGCGUGGGGAGCAAACAG
rnacentral:rRNA from 1 species